AGCAUGGCGCACUUUUUCUUUUUAAAAUGGCCAGGGGAGUGGUCAUGGUCAGGGAAGCGGAAGUGGUCAGGGGAGCGGAAGUGGUCAGGGGAGUGGUCAGGGAAGUUGAUCAGGGGAGUGGUCAGGAAAACGGCCAGGGAAGUGGUCAGGGAAGCGGUUAUGGUCAGGGGAGCGGUCAGGGGAGCGGAAGUGGUCAGGGGAGAGGUCAUGGUCAGGGAAGCGGAAGUGUCAGGGGAGCGGAAGUGUUCAGGGGAGAGGUCAGGGAAGCGGUUAUGGUCAGGGAAGCAGUUAUGGUCAGGGAAGCGGUUAUGGUCAGGGAAGCGGUCAGGGGAUCGGUCAUGGUCAGGUGAGCGUUCAGGGGAACGGUCAUGGUCAGGGGAACGGUUAGGGGAGCGGUCAGGGAAGCGGUCAUGGUCAGGGGAGCGGUUAUGGUCAGGGGAGCGGUCAGGGGAACGGUCAUGGGCAGGGGAACGGUUAGGGGAGCGGUCAGGGAAGCGGUCAUGGUCAGGGGAGCGGUUAUGGUCAGGGGAGUGGUCAGGGAAGGGGAAGCGGUCAGGGAAGGGGUCAUGGUCAGGGGAGAGGUCGUGGUCAGGGGAGAGGUCGUGGUCAGGGAAGCGGUCAUGGUCAGGGAAGCGGUCAGGGAAGCGGUCGUGGUCAGGGGAGCAGAAGUGGUCAGGGAAGGGGAAGUGGUCAGGGGAGCGGUUGUGGUCAGGGAAGGGGAAGUGGUCAGGGAAGCGGUCAGGGGAGAGGUCAUGGUCAUGGAAGGGAAGUGGUCAGGGAAGUGGUCAGGGGAGCGGUUAUGGUCGGGGAGAGGUCCGGGAGCGGUUAUGGUCAGGGGAGCGGUUAUGGUCAGGGAAGAGGUCAAGGGAGCGGUUAUUCAUAUGGCAUGUUUUCCCUAUUUGCUCAAACAGUUUAGAAAGAUUUUUGUCGAUCGUUCUCUCUCUCUCUUUCAUUUUAAAGUUUACAACUUGCUUACUGUAUUUGGAUUUUAA
rnacentral:lncRNA from 1 species